AUCCAGCUGACGAGUCCAAUAGGACGAAAUGCGCAUCCUGGAU
rfam:Trichobilharzia regenti genome assembly, scaffold: TRE_scaffold0054591